rnacentral:lncRNA from 1 species
UAGGGAUCAGGUUAUUAGCGAUCUAUAGUGGCGUUCGGGAUGUGGGCACUUUUCUUUGAAAGGGGAUUUUUUUUUUCAUGUUGGUGGAGAUGUGGUUUUUUUUUUAAUCUGAUGACUGACCAAAACCACUUUGCCAUGUGUGUAAAUUGAGUGAAAAUGCAUGAGAAACGGUUCUUUCUGAAUGGGUCUGUACUAGCCUAGAAGGGGGAAUGGGAGAGAGGUGGGCUUUAAGUUUAGCUAAGUCUUGAAAGGGGGGGACGUUUGAAGAGUAGAUCUUAAAACGUGAAGCCUUAUUUGGACAGUGGGUUUAAUCGCUAGGUGUGGGUUAUGUGUACAGUUUGGGCACAAACUCGGUCUGGGAAGCGUUUGUCUCUAAGAAGCUGAGCAUAAAUGGGCUUCCUGCUCAGACGGCGUUUGCUGGAGGGGGUCUUUGUAAGUUAAGAGAAAGUUAGAGUCGGUAGAGAGAGUGCAGGCUAGAAUCGGGGGGAGUCUGUCUGAGGCAGAAUUGCACGGCAGGUGGGGAUGUGGGGACUGGAAAUCUUGGCAGGAGGAGCAGAAAGGAGUCCGUGCACGUUUCCCGGUUGCAAAGCAGACGUCGAGCACCAGUUUGCUCGAGAACUCUGCCUAUGAAGCAGUUCUGGCAGCCCCGAUGGGCUCUUAAACGGAGACGUUCGCCCCCUUCUUUCUUCUCCACAGCUAAUGAAAGGCAGAGAGAUCCUGGGUAAUGUAUUUAGGCUUUAAAAAAUCCAAAGAUGUCUGCUUCUAAAAUGGCCAGAAAUCACACCUGAGACCAGAAUGAACCUGUCUGAGUUCUACAUGCUAUGCAUAUCUUCUCCAUUUCAAGAAAGAAUAGGUAGGGACACUCAGAUUAAUAUCUCGAUAAAGCAGGAUUUGUCAGUCAUAUAAACUGUACAUGGUAGUGGGCAAUGUUUUCAGGCUAGAGAAUCCUUUGAAUAUUGAGUAAAAGUUGUGGAAAGUAUACUAAGUUUGACACAGAUUCCAAAUGCGUACAAUGGGAAUUUUGUAUUUCUUGCUAUGAACAGUGUAUCUCCAAUGUAUUAGGUUUAUGUACAGUAUGUGAAUAUGUGUGUGUACUUUCCCACAAACACUGUAUACACAUACACAUUUACUACCCUAUUAGAGAAGAGCUAAUAUUGCCUAAUAGGUCAAUGGAGGGUUUUAGAAAUAUAGCUAUUUAACUAUUAGAUGUAAAAACUUAGAAGGUUUGUUACUUCUGUUAUCCUGACAGGUCUGACAGUAUGUAAAAUUAAUUACACUAAGGUAGAUUUCUUACAUGUAAAUUUGCAUGUGGCACAUGUCCUUUAGGUCUUAUGCUUGCAUUUUUUUAUUUUUUUUUAUAAUCUGUCACCAAGGAUAUAAAGUUUACUGCCAUUGACGCCCAUUUCAGGGUUUA